AGCGAACGCUGGCGGCAGGCCUAACACAUGCAAGUCGAACGGACCCUUCGGGGUUAGUGGCGGACGGGUGAGUAACACGUGGGAACGUGCCUUUAGGUUCGGAAUAGCUCCUGGAAACGGGUGGUAAUGCCGAAUGUGCCCUUCGGGGGAAAGAUUUAUCGCCUUUAGAGCGGCCCGCGUCUGAUUAGCUAGUUGGUGAGGUAAUGGCUCACCAAGGCGACGAUCAGUAGCUGGUCUGAGAGGAUGACCAGCCACAUUGGGACUGAGACACGGCCCAAACUCCUACGGGAGGCAGCAGUGGGGAAUCUUGCGCAAUGGGCGAAAGCCUGACGCAGCCAUGCCGCGUGGAUGAUGAAGGUCUUAGGAUUGUAAAAUCCUUUCACCGGUGAAGAUAAUGACUGUAGCCGGAGAAGAAGCCCCGGCUAACUUCGUGCCAGCCGCCGCGGUAAUAC
rnacentral:rRNA from 1 species